GGAUCUCGACAAACACACCGCCAAAGAAGAUUACAUCGGAUAGAUCUCCAUGAAGAUCAUGGAGAACUUUGUAUUGAAGAUCCAAGAGAGAGAAGAAGCCAUCUAGCUACUAACUACGGACCCGUAGGUCUGAAGUGAACUACUCACGAGUCAUUGGAGGGGCGAUGAUGAUGAUGAAUAAGCCCUCCACCUCCAAAGUCCCCUCCAGCAAGGUGCCGGGAAGGGUCUCCGGAUGAGAUCUCGCGGAAACGGAAGCUUGCGGCGGCGGAAAAGUUUUUUCGAGGCUCCCCUGAUUUUUUGCGGAAUAUUUGGGAAUAUAUAGGCGCAAGAUCUAGGUCAGGGGGCGACCAGGGUGGCCACAAGCUUGCCCACCGCCGCCUCCCCCUGGUGGCAUGGUGGGAACUUGCGGGCUCCCUGGGGCCCACCUGGCUUGGCCCAAAGGCUCCCUGGUCUUCUUUCGUUCGGAAAAAAAUCAUUUCGGGGUUUUUAUUCCGUUUGGACUUCGUUCCAAAAUCAGAUCUGAAAAGAGUCAAAAACACGGAAAAACAAGAACUGGCACUGGGCACUGAAUUAAUAAGUUAAUCCCAAAAAGAUAUAAAAAGGUACAUAAAACAUACAAAGAAGGCAAGAUAACAGCGUGGAACCAUCAAAAAUUAUAGAUACGUUUGAGACGUAUCAAUCAGCAAAGACUCAAAUAUAUAUCAUAGAUAAUCUGAUCACAAAUCCACAAUUCAUCGGAUCUCGACAAACACACCGCCAAAGAAGAUUACAUCGGAUAGAUCUCCAUGAAGAUCAUGGAGAACUUUGUAUUGAAGAUCCAAGAGAGAGAAGAAGCCAUCUAGCUACUAACUACGGACCCGUAGGUCUGAGGUGAACUACUCACGAGUCAAUGGAGGGGCGAUGAUGAUGAUGAUGAAGAAGCCCUCCAACUCCAAAGUCCCCUCCGGCAGGGUGCCGGGAAGGGUCUCCAGAUGAAAUAUCGCGGAAACGGAAGCUUGCGGCGGCGGAAAAGUAUUUUCGAGGCUCCCGUGAUUUUUU
rnacentral:lncRNA from 1 species